rnacentral:rRNA from 1 species
UACCAGCACCCCGAGCGGUCGGGACGUUUAUUGGGCCUAAAGCAUCCGUAGCCGGUUCUACAAGUCUUCCGUUAAAUCCACCUGCUUAACAGAUGGGCUGCGGAAGAUACUAUAGAGCUAGGAGGCGGGAGAGGCAAGCGGUACUCGAUGGGUAGGGGUAAAAUCCGUUGAUCCAUUGAAGACCACCAGUGGCGAAGGCGGCUUGCCAGAAUGCGCUCGACGGUGAGGGAUGAAAGCUGGGGGAGCAAACCGG